CCUAACACAUGCAAGUCGAACGGUAACAGGAAGAAGCUUCGCUUCUUUUGCUGACGAGUGGCGGACGGGUGAGUAAUGUCUGGGAAACUGCCUGAUGGAGGGGGAUAACUACUGGAAACGGUAGCUAAUACCGCAUAACGUCGCAAGACCAAAGAGGGGGACCUUCGGGCCUCUUGCCAUCGGAUGUGCCCAGAUGGGAUUAGCUAGUAGGUGGGGUAACGGCUCACCUAGGCGACGAUCCCUAGCUGGUCUGAGAGGAUGACCAGCCACACUGGAACUGAGACACGGUCCAGACUCCUACGGGAGGCAGCAGUGGGGAAUAUUGCACAAUGGGCGCAAGCCUGAUGCAGCCAUGCCGCGUGUAUGAAGAAGGCCUUCGGGUUGUAAG
rnacentral:rRNA from 1 species